ACGAUGGUCGGACGGAGUGAGUAACACGCUGGGUAACCUGCCUGUAAGACCGGGAUAACUCCGGGAUAACCGGAGCUAAUACCAGAUAAUCAACAUAGUUGCAUAACUAAGUCUGUGAAAGAUGGCGCAAGCUAUCACUUACAGAUGCUCCCCAGCGGCGCAUUAGCUAGUUGGUAGGGUAAAUGGCCUACCAAGGCGACGAUGCGUAGCCGACCUGAGAGGGUGAUCGGCCACACUGGGACUGAGACACGGCCCAGACUCCUACGGGAGGCAGCAGUAGGGAAUCUUGCCGCAAUGGACGAAAGUCUGACGGAGCAACGCCAGCGUGAGUGAAGAAGGUUCUUCGGAUUGUAAAACUCUGUCAUUACUGAAGAACGGCUAUAGUGUAAACAAGGCUAUAGAGUGACGGUACCUAAGGAGGAGCCCCCGGCUAACUACGUGCCAGCAGCCGCGGUAAUACGUAGGGGGAUAGCGUUGUCCGGAAUUAUUGGGCGUAAAGCGCGCGCAGGCGGCUCUUCUGGUCUGAUGUGAAAGCCCACGGCUCAACCGUGGAGGGUCAUUGGAAACUGGGGAGCUUGAGUACAGGACUCAAAGUGGAAUUCCAUGUGUAGCGGUGAAAUGCGUAGAUAUAUGGAGGAACACCAGUGGCGAAGGCGACUUUCUGGCCUGAAACUGACGAGGAGGCGCGAAAGCGUGGGGAGCAAACAGGAUUAGCCACCCUGGUAGUCCACGCCGUAAACGAUGAGUGCUAGGUGUUAGGGGUUUCGAUGCCCUUAGUGCCGCAGUUAACACAUUAAGCACUCAUCCUGGGGAGUACGGCCGCAAGGCUGAAACUCAAAGGAAUUGACGGGGAUGCGCACAAGCAGUGGAGCAUGUGGUUCAAUUCGAAGCAACGCGAAGAACCUUGUCAGGGCUUGACAUCCCGCUGACCGGUAUAGAGAUAUACCAUUACCUUCGGGUACAGCGCUCCAGGUGGUGCAUGGUUGUCGUCAGCUCGUGUCGUGAGAUGUUACUAAAGUCCCGCAACGAGACGCAACCCUCUAAUCUUAGUUGCCAGCAUUUCGUUGGGCACUCUAAGGUGACUGCCGGUGACACAACCGGAGGAACGGUGGGGAUGACGUCAAAUCAUCAUGCCCCUUAUGUCCUGGGCUACACACGUGCUAUGGCUGGUACAAAUGGGUAGCGAUAGCCGUGAGGUGGAGCCAAUCCCAUAAAGCCAGUCUCAGUUCGGCAUUGUAGGCUGCAACUCGCCUACAUGAAGCCGGAAUUGCUAGUAAUCGCGGAUCAGCAUGCCGCGGUGAAUACGUUGCCUUGUACACACCGCCCGUCACACCACGAGAGUUUGCAGGACCCGAUAGAGGGUGAGGUAACCAGCAAUGGAGCCAGCCGCCGAAUGUACGGUAGAUGAUUGGGGUGAAGUCGUCCGAACCAC
rnacentral:rRNA from 1 species